rnacentral:rRNA from 1 species
AUUGAACGCUGGCGGCAUGCCUUACACAUGCAAGUCGAACGGUAACGGGCCUUCGGGUGCCGACGAGUGGCGAACGGGUGAGUAAUGCAUCGGAACGUACCUUUCAGUGGGGGAUAACGUAGCGAAAGUUACGCUAAUACCGCAUAUUCUGUGAGCAGGAAAGCAGGGGAUCGCAAGACCUUGCGCUGAUUGAGCGGCCGAUGUCGGAUUAGCUAGUUGGUGAGGUAAAGGCUCACCAAGGCGACGGUCUGUAGCGGGUCUGAGAGGAUGAUCCGCCACACUGGGACUGAGACACGGCCCAGACUCCUACGGGAGGCAGCAGUGGGGAAUUUUGGACAAUGGGGGCAACCCUGAUCCAGCCAUGCCGCGUGAGUGAAGAAGGCCUUCGGGUUGUAAAGCUCUUUCGGCCGGGAAGAAAUCGCACAGGCUAGUACCUUGUGUGGAUGACGGUACCGGAAUAAGAAGCACCGGCUAACUACGUGCCAGCCGCCGCAGUAAGAC